rnacentral:tRNA from 1 species
GCACCCGUAGCUCAAUUGGACAGUGCAUCGGUCUUCGGAACCGAGGGUUAGAGGUUCGAGUCCUCUCGGGUGUA